UGGGGAAUAUUGCACAAUGGGGGAAACCCUGAUGCAGCAACGCCGCGUGAGUGAAGAAGUAUUUCGGUAUGUAAAGCUCUAUCAGCAGGGAAGAAGAUGACGGUACCUGAGUAAGAAGCCCCGGCUAACUACGUGCCAGCAGCCGCGGUAAUACGUAGGGGGCAAGCGUUAUCCGGAUUUACUGGGUGUAAAGGGAGCGUAGACGGUGAGACAAGUCUGAAGUGAAAGCCCGGGGCUCAACCCCGGGACUGCUUUGGAAACUGCCUGACUGGAGUGCUGGAGAGGCAAGCGGAAUUCCUAGUGUAGCGGUGAAAUGCGUAGAUAUUAGGAAGAACACCAGUGGCGAAGGCGGCUUGCUGGACAGUAACUGACGUUGAGGCUCGAAAGCGUGGGGAGCAAACAGG
rnacentral:rRNA from 1 species